rnacentral:rRNA from 1 species
GACGAACGCUGGCGGCGUGCUUAACACAUGCAAGUCGAACGAUGAAGCCCAGCUUGCUGGGUGGAAGAGUGGCGAACGGGUGAGUAACACGUGAGUAACCUGCCCUGAACUCUGGGAUAAGCACUGGAAACGGUGUCUAAUACUGGAUACGACCUAUCACCGCAUGGUGUGUGGGUGGAAAGAUUUAUCGGUUUUGGAUGGACUCGCGGCCUAUCAGCUAGAUGGUGAGGUAAUGGCUCACCAUGGCGACGACGGGUAGCCGGCCUGAGAGGGUGACCGGCCACACUGGGACUGAGACACGGCCCAG